UACGGGGGGGGCAAGCGUUGUUCGGAAUUACUGGGCGUAAAGGGCUCGUAGGCGGCCAACUAAGUCAGACGUGAAAUCCCCCGGCUUAACCUGGGAACUGCGUCUGAUACUGGGAGGCUUGAGUAUGGGAGAGGGAUGUAGAAUUCCAGGUGUAGCGGUGAAAUGCGUAGAUAUCUGGAGGAAUACCGGUGGCGAAGGCGGCAUCCUGGACCAUAACUGACGCUGAGGCGCGAAAGCUAGGGGAGCAAACGGGG
rnacentral:rRNA from 1 species